rnacentral:lncRNA from 1 species
ACCUACUGGACGAAAACUGGACAGAAAUGCGGGUGACUAUGCCUCGUCUCCUACUAGAUCCAACCCGAACUCUAGCAGACUGGGCAAUUUAAAACGAAGGGCCCAGGGGAAAACAUUUAAUAACGUUAGAGUGAGUGGACAAAAAUAAAAUAAUAAAUAAAAUAUUUAUGUUUCCCCAAAUUAAUUUCUAAGGAAAAAUCGAAUGCAUGCCGCAAGCGAUAAAACUUUUAUCCCAUAAAAUAUCGAGCCUCUCAGACUCUAUAAUAUAUGUAUGUAUUUACACUCGUCCAUACUCCCUAUAUAAAUUCAUGGGUCUAUAUAGGGCUACUAGGCUCGCGUCCAACGCUCACGUCACGCCUUAAUGCGGUGCUACACUACGCCAUCAAGGUGGACAGACGGGUGUAUAAAUAUGUGUCCAUACCCCCUAUAUGAAUUAAACACUCAAAUAGGGCUACUACGCUUACGUCUAACGCUCACGUCACACUAUAAUGCGGCUAUAUGCUACGCCAUUAAGGUGGACAGACACAUAUGGCUAGCUAGCAUUUUCUAUACAUACUCUCUCAUAUAUACAUAUUUAUAUUCACCGAAAAUCCCAUUUUCGGUAACUUUCUCCAAGAGAAAUAAAAAUCGUCAAAAUACUCCACGACAUUAAUUAUUCAAUCGUGAACUUUAGCAUGCAUUUAUUUAAAAUAAAAGUCCACUCACAAAUUAGGCCUAAGCCUGAUGUCGAUCUGGGGUCUCGUCUGCUCGAGCCUCCUCACGUCUUGUUCCAAAUAUAAUAUUAAUUCCCAACCAAAUAAUCCAAUAUUUAAUCAAAAUAGGCAAAAAUUACCCGAGAGCCAUAAUUACGCUCAUUAUUGCCUAACUUCGAUAUUCUUACAUCGGAACGAUCCGAACUUAAAUAUCAUACUCAACAGUCGUAAAAACAACCUCUCCAAAAUACGACUUAAAUCCUACGGCCGGAUUCUACAUUAAUUACCCGCCAAAAAUACCACACUUCGGAAAUUCACAAACCUAUCCAAAUCUCAUC